CCUGAUGCAGCCAUGCCGCGUGUAUGAAGAAGGCCUUCGGGUUGUAAAGUACUUUCAGUUGUGAGGAAGGGUGUGUAGUUAAUAGCUGCGCAUCUUGACGUUAGCAACAGAAGAAGCACCGGCUAACUCCGUGCCAGCAGCCGCGGUAAUACGGAGGGUGCGAGCGUUAAUCGGAAUUACUGGGCGUAAAGCGCAUGCAGGUGGUUCAUUAAGUCAGAUGUGAAAGCCCGGGGCUCAACCUCGGAACUGCAUUUGAAACUGGUGAACUAGAGUACUGUAGAGGGGGGUAGAAUUUCAGGUGUAGCGGUGAAAUGCGUAGAGAUCUGAAGGAAUACCAGUGGCGAAGGCGGCCCCCUGGACAGAUACUGACACUCAGAUGCGAAAGCGUGGGGAGCAAACAGGAUUAGAUACCCUGGUAGUCCACGCCGUAAACGAUGUCUACUUGGAGGUUGUGGCCUUGAGCCGUGGCUUUCGGAGCUAACGCGUUAAGUAGACCGCCUGGGGA
rnacentral:rRNA from 1 species